rnacentral:rRNA from 1 species
UACAGAGGGGGCAAGCGUUAUUCGGAAUUAUUGGGCGUAAAGGGCGCGUAGGCGGCUUGGCAAGUGGAUGGUGAAAUCCCUCGGCUUAACCGAGGAACUGCCAUCCAGACUGCUUCGCUUGAGACCGGGAGAGGUGAGUGGAAUUCCCAGUGUAGCGGUGAAAUGCGUAGAUAUUGGGAGGAACACCAGUGGCGAAGGCGGCUCACUGGACCGGUACUGACGCUGAGGCGCGAAAGCGUGGGGAGCAAACGGG